UACAGAGGGUGCAAGCGUUGUUCGGAAUUACUGGGCGUAAAGCGCGUGUAGGCGGUCUAGCAAGUCGAGUGUGAAAUCCCUUGGCUUAACCAAGGAACUGCAUUCGAAACUACUAAACUUGAGUAUCGGAGGGGGUGGCGGAAUUCCCGGUGUAGAGGUGAAAUUCGUAGAUAUCGGGAGGAACACCUGUGGCGAAGGCGGCCACCUGGAAGAUUACUGACGAUGAGACGCGAAAGCGUGGGGAGCAAACAGG
rnacentral:rRNA from 1 species